rnacentral:rRNA from 1 species
GAUGAACGCUGGCGGCGUGCCUAAUACAUGCAAGUCGAGCGAACAGACGAGGAGCUUGCUCCUCUGACGUUAGCGGCGGACGGGUGAGUAAAACGUGGAUAACCUACCUAUAAGACUGGGAUAACUUCGGGAAACCGGAGCUAAUACCGGAUAAUAUAUUGAACCGCAUGGUUCAAUAGUGAAAGACGGUUUUGCUGUCACUUAUAGAUGGAUCCGCGCCGCAUUAGCUAGUUGGUAAGGUAACGGCUUACCAAGGCAACGAUGCGUAGCCGACCUGAGAGGGUGAUCGGCCACACUGGAACUGAGACUCGGUCCAGACUCCUACGGGAGGCAGCAGUAGGGAAUCUUCCGCAAAGGGCGAAAGCCUGACGGAGCAACGCCGCGUGAGUGAUGAAGGUCUUCGGAUCGCAAAACUCUGUUAUUAGGGAAGAACAAAUGUGUAAGUAACUAUGCACGUCUUGACGGUACCUAAUCAGAAAGCCACGGCUAACUACGUG